UUAUUUAGCCUAUAGAGGCCCUUAUUUUGACGCGCGGCUUGCCGGAAGUGGUCAGGUGCGCGAGCGCGCACAGAUCACGGAAGCACGGAGAUCGGAGAAGCGCGCCUAGCACGAGGGAGAGAGCUAUCGCUUGCACGGAGAAAUUCACGGAGCUAAAGUUAAAUUUAAGGACUGAUUAAAGAGUAUUUAAUGCAUAUUUGAGUUUGUUUUUUGUUCUGUUCAUCUUCAUUGUUUGAACACCUGGUUGGAAGGGAGAACAAGCUUUUACGGUGCUGAACAGUCUUUAAGGACGGCAAUCGCAACAAUAAAGGCACAAAGGAGGACAGUGCAACAUCAGUGCAUGAGUUUAAUCCUUUAUUUCUCCAACCGGGCUGUUACACACCCAUCCAUCCAUCCAUCCAUCCAUUCAUCCAUUUGUCAUUCAUCCAUCCAUCCAUGUCAUUCAUCCAUCCGUCUGUCUAUCUGUCCUUCAAUCCAUCCAUAAUUUACAUAUCCAUCCGUCCGUCCGACACUCCAUCCAUCCACCCAACCCCCCUAAUUUUUUGCUUAACUUUUUGUGAAACACAUAAACACACCAGGGCCCAAUUUUCCCAUUUUGCCCUCAAACUUUCUGCCUCUUAUUUUGACACUCUCCUACCAUUUCCUUGUCCUCUGUGAUUUACAGAGCUGUUUCUUCGCUAGACUUCUUUCCCCAUUUCAGAUUUUCAAAGAUGUACUUUUUCUCCCCAACCCGUUCGACUGUUCAGUCUUUCUAUUAAAAUGUCUUCGCAUCUCA